GGAAUAUUGCACAAUGGGCGCAAGCCUGAUGCAGCAACGCCGCGUGCGGGACGAAGGCCUUCGGGUCGUAAACCGCUUUUCUGGGGAAAGAGCAAGGACGGUACCUCAGGAAUAAGUCUCGGCUAACUACGUGCCAGCAGCCGCGGUAAAACGUAGGAGGCGAGCGUUAUCCGGAUUUACUGGGCGUAAAGCGCACGCAGGCGGCUCUGUGAGUCGGACGGGAAAGCUCCCGGCUGAACCGGGAGAGGACGUGCGAUACUGCGGGGCUUGCGGUAGGGAGAGGGAUGCGGAAUUCCCGGUGUAGUGGUGGAAUGCGUAGAUAUCGGGAGGGACACCUGUGGCGAAAGCGGCAUUCUGGCCCUCACCUGACGCUGAGGUGCGAAAGCGUGGGUAGCAA
rnacentral:rRNA from 1 species